rnacentral:rRNA from 1 species
UACCAAAAAACAAAACAAACCAUUUAAUCUAAUAGUAUAGGCGAUAGAAAUUUAUUAUGCGCAAUAAAAAAGUACCGCAGGGGAAAGAUGAAAUAAAAAUGAAAUAAAUAAUAAAACAAAGAAAAGAAAAGACUAAACCCUAUACCUUUUGCAUAAUGGUCUAGUAAGUCCAACCUAACAAAAAGAAAUAAAGUUAGCCACCCCGAAACUAGACGAGCUACUCAAAAGCAGCAUUAACCAGGGCCAACCCGUCUCUGUGGCAAAAGAGUGGGACGACUUUUAAGUAGAGGUGAAAAGCCUAACGAGCCUAGUGAUAGCUGGUUGCUUGAGAAAUGAAUAUUAGUUCAGCUUAAAGUACUUUCAACUAAUGAGAAAGUAAAAAUAACACUUUAAAGUUAAUUAAUAGGGGUACAGCCCUAUUAAUAAAGGACACAACCUACACAAUGAAUAAAGAUUAUAUUAACAAAAGAAAUUAACCAUGUAGGCCUAAAAGCAGCCACCACAAGAAAGCGUCAAAGCUCAACCAACCAACCCCCUUAUUAUACUAAUAAAAAAAUCUAAAUUCACAAAUAUAUCAAGCCUAUCUACUAGUAGAUGAGUUUAUACUAGAAUGAGUAACAAGAACAAAUUCUCUAUAUGCAAGCGUAAAUCAGGGCGAAAAAAUCACUGAUAAUUAACAACUUCAAAUACUAAACAACAAGAAAAGCACAUUAAAGUAAUUGUUAACCCGACACAGGAGCAUCAAAAAAGAUUUAAAGAUUAAAAAGGAACUCGGCAACCAAGAGCUCCGCCUGUUUACCAAAAACAUCGCCUCUUGCCCUCCAAGUAUAAGAGGUCCCGCCUGCCCAGUGAUUAAUUUUAACGGCCGCGGUAUCAUGACCGUGCAAAGGUAGCGUAAUCACUUGUCUUUUAAAUAAAGACCUGUAUGAAAGGCAAAACGAAAGCUCAACUGUCUCUUUAAUCCAAUCAGU